AUGGGCGAGGCCGACCACGACGCGCCGGCGGUGAACGAGGAGGGGAAGGCGGCGCCGUUCCCGGCGUGGGCGCGGACGGUGGAGGAGUGCGAGAAGCGGUUCGGGGUGGACCGGGACCGCGGCCUCUCCUCGUCGGAGGCGGCGGCGCGGCUGCGCGCGCACGGACCCAACGAGCUGCUGGAGCACCCGGGCCCGUCCGUGCUGCAGCUCGUGGCGCAGCAGUUCGAGGACACGCUGGUGCGCAUCCUGCUCGCCGCCGCCGCCGUCUCCUUCGCGCUCGCGCUCUCCUCGUCGGCGGGGGCGCUCACGCUCUCGGCCUUCGUCGAGCCGCUCGUCAUCUUCCUCAUCCUCGUCGUCAACGCCGCCGUCGGGGUCUGGCAGGAGACCAACGCCGAGAAGGCGCUCGAGGCGCUGCGCCAGAUCCAGUCCGACCACGCCGCCGUGCUCCGCGACGGCGAGUGGGCGCCCGCCCUCCCCGCCCGCGACCUCGUCCCGGGCGACGUCGUGAUGCUCCGCGUCGGGGACAAGGUGCCCGCCGACAUGCGCGUCCUCCGCCUCGUCUCCUCCACGCUCCGCGUCGAGCAGGGGUCGCUCACCGGCGAGACCAACUCCGUCAACAAGACCGCCCACGCCGUGCCCGCCGAGGACGCCGACAUCCAGGCCAAGGAGUGCAUGGUGUUCGCGGGCACCACCGUCGUCAAUGGCUCCGCCGUCUGCCUCGUCGUGCACACCGGGAUGGCCACCGAGAUCGGCAAGAUCCACUCGCAGAUCCACGAGGCCUCGCAGGAGGACGACGACACGCCGCUCAAGAAGAAGCUCAACGAGUUCGGCGAGGCGCUCACCAAGAUCAUCGGCCUCAUAUGCAUCCUCGUCUGGCUCAUCAACGUCAAGUACUUCUUGACCUUCGAGCUCGACGGAUGGGUGCCGAGGAACAUUCGCUUCUCGUUCGAGAAGUGCACAUACUACUUCGAGAUCGCCGUGGCGCUUGCCGUCGCCGCCAUACCCGAAGGAUUGCCUGCCGUGAUCACCACCUGCCUCGCCCUCGGAACGAGGAAGAUGGCCGCCAAGAACGCGCUUGUCAGGAAGCUGCCCAGUGUGGAGACUCUGGGCUGCACCACCGUGAUCUGCUCCGACAAGACUGGGACUCUGACCACCAACCAGAUGUCAGUCUCAAAGCUCGUGGCGAUCGGUGAUGCCCCAGGGAAAGUUAGGAGCUUCAAGGUGGACGGCACGUCGUAUGAUCCCCGUGAUGGCAAAAUCUACGACUGGCCUGCUGGGAGGAUGGAUGCAAAUCUUGAGAUGAUCGCAAAGGUUGCCGCUGUGUGUAAUGACGCCAGUGUCUCACAUUCUUCAAACCAGUAUGUUUCCACCGGAAUGCCCACCGAGGCUGCUUUGAAGGUCCUGGUUGAGAAAAUGGGAGUACCUGAAGGAAAGAAUGGUCUGUCGGUGGAUCCGUCCGAGACAUUAGGCUGCUGCCGAUGGUGGAGCAAUGCUGCCAAAAGGAUUGCCACGCUCGAGUUCGACCGUAUGAGGAAAUCAAUGGGAAUCAUCGUUACCUCCAAAUCAGGAGGCAACACUUUACUUGUGAAGGGAGCUGUUGAAACCUUGCUGGAGAGGAGUAGCCAUAUUCAGCUGCAGGAUGGUUCAGUUGUGCCUUUAGAUGAGAAAUCUAGAAAAGCUGUUUUGGCAAGUCUCCAUGAAUUGUCAACAAAAGCUCUACGGUGCCUCGGAUUUGCAUACAAGGAGGAUCUUGGUGAAUUCGCAACAUAUGAUGGCGAAUACCACCCUGCUCGCAAGCUUUUGCUGGAUCCAGCCAAUUAUGCGGCAAUUGAAACUGACCUGAUAUUUGUUGGUCUUGCUGGCCUAAGGGAUCCUCCGAGGGAAGAAGUCUUUGAUGCUAUUGAGGACUGCAGAGCUGCGGGCAUCCGUGUUAUGGUGAUUACAGGAGACAACAAAGAAACUGCUGAGGCGAUAUGCCAUGAAAUCGGUGUAUUUUCACCUGAUGAAGACAUUAGCUUGAAGAGCUUUACAGGGAGGGAGUUCAUGGCACUUGAGGAUAAGAAGACACUGCUGCGAAGGAAAGGUGGCCUUCUGUUCUCUAGGGCAGAGCCCAGGCACAAGCAAGAGAUUGUGAGACUGUUAAAAGAAGACGGUGAAGUUGUUGCUAUGACUGGAGAUGGAGUAAAUGAUGCCCCUGCUCUAAAACUUGCUGACAUUGGUAUAGCAAUGGGUAUCACCGGCACUGAGGUUGCCAAAGAGGCUUCUGACAUGGUACUAGCUGACGACAAUUUCAGUACCAUUGUUGCUGCUGUUGGUGAAGGCAGGUCUAUUUACAACAACAUGAAAGCUUUCAUAAGAUAUAUGAUUUCCUCAAACAUUGGUGAAGUUGCCUCCAUCUUCCUUACCUCUGCUUUGGGUAUUCCUGAGGGGUUGAUACCUGUUCAACUUCUGUGGGUAAACCUUGUCACUGAUGGCCCCCCUGCGACUGCUUUGGGUUUCAAUCCGCCUGACAAGGACAUCAUGAAGAAACCACCAAGGAGGAGCGACGACUCACUGAUCACUCCCUGGAUUCUGUUCCGUUAUCUGGUCAUUGGCCUUUACGUGGGGGUUGCAACCGUUGGCAUCUUUGUCAUCUGGUACACCCACGGAUCUUUCAUGGGCAUUGAUCUCACUGGAGAUGGUCACUCGCUUGUCAGCUACUCGCAGCUCUCGAACUGGGGCCAGUGCUCUAGCUGGGACAACUUCACAGCCGCACCCUUCACUGCUGGAGCUAGAACUUUCACCUUCGACGACAACCCCUGCGACUACUUCCAGGCCGGCAAAGUGAAGGCAACGACGCUCUCACUCUCCGUGCUCGUGGCGAUCGAGAUGUUCAACUCGCUCAACGCUCUCUCUGAGGACACAAGCCUGCUGAGGAUGCCUCCGUGGGUCAACCCGUGGCUGCUCCUGGCCAUGUCGGUGUCGUUCGGGCUGCACUUCCUCAUCCUCUACGUGCCGUUCCUCGCGCAGGUGUUUGGCAUCGUGCCGCUCAGCCUGAACGAGUGGCUCCUGGUGCUCCUGGUCGCGCUCCCGGUGGUGCUCAUCGACGAGGUCCUCAAGUUCGUGGGCAGGUGCACGACCGCCGCAGGCCCCAAGCGGCGUUUAAAAAAGCAGAAGGGCGAGUGA
rnacentral:rRNA from 1 species